rnacentral:rRNA from 1 species
CCUACGGGGGGCAGCAGUGAGGAAUAUUGGUCAAUGGGCGGGAGCCUGAACCAGCCAAGCCGCGUGAGGGAAGAAGGUACAGCGUAUCGUAAACCUCUUUUGUCAGGGAACAAAGGCGGGGACUAGUCCCCGGAUGAGGGUACCUGAAGAAAAAGCAUCGGCUAACUCCGUGCCAGCAGCCGCGGUAAUACGGAGGAUGCGAGCGUUAUCCGGAUUUAUUGGGUUCAAAGGGUGCGCAGGCGGCCUGUUAAGUCAGCGGUAAAAGCCCGGGGCUCAACCCCGGCUAGCCGUUGUAACUGGGGUGCUGGAGUUGGAGUGAAGUACGCGGAAGGCGCGGUUGAGGGGGGAAAUGCUUAG